UAGCCGAAGACCGGGGGGCUGAAGGAAGCCGGAUGGCAAAACGGCGGCCUGACGAACACGAAGCGGAUGAGGCGUGUCAGCGGGGUGAGGCGGCCGAACUCGUCAAAGCCCGAUACUUGUGGGGAACGCUGUCACGUAGAUCCGACAGGUAUAAGCGUGAAAUUGGGUGCGUU
rnacentral:ncRNA from 1 species